GCCCCAGGUCGAGAAGAACGGACCGGCAACAACUGCCGCCGCUCCUCCAUUCCCCUCCUCCUGUGUGCUGCCCUCUCAUCCAUCCCGAGUCGACCCCGCCUCCGGUCGCGGCCCACUCUCCUACAAGCGGCGACGACAUCCUCGCCGGUCAGCCACGCCCAGCGCCUUCCUCCUCCCUUCUCUCUCCCUCUCCUCACUAAUCUCUCUCCCUGUCUCCGUUGGACCUUCCCUCGUGACUGCCGGCCUUCCUCCUGACUAGAUCAACGACAGCGACGACCGGAUCUCCCACGCUGCCAUGGCUAAGACACACCGCGCGUUCGCCCCACCUCCCAGCAAACGCCGCCGCCCCUUCCCUUUCGAUCCACCUCGGGUCAACCUGUCGCCACCACGCACGCAAACCACGGCGGGGGACGCGAGAGGAGGAGUUGCGGCUUCCUCCAGGCACACACGUGCCGUUGCAUUUGGCCUUUCCUGGAGCGUCGGUCGCCGUCGCCGCCUGCCGCUCGGCUUCUGCCCCACGGGCGCCACGUCCAGGAACUCCCCUCCGCCACUGCCGGGUGGGUCAAAAUCACUGCUAUCGCCGUGUCCCGGCCCAUUCCGUUCAUGCUCUGACGCGAUCCUGAUCCGCCUGCACAAAUCCUUUUCUGUACAGAGUAAUGGCCAUCGGAUUUGGAUUUUGGGAGCUUUCAAUCGUGGAUGCUUGUUUCCGUAUGGAGUAAUGACAUUUUUUAACUGACGGAUUGAUCCAUGAUUGUCUCCAGGUGCAAUAGACGUUCAAGCACAUGCAGUUUUUGGGAGUGAAGUCAAAGAAUAGCUUGGUACUUCUGUGGUUGAGAUUUCAACAGAGGGAUGCUGGUGCAGUAACCAUAUCUCCCUGUUUCUUCAGCUUGAGGAAGCCCUGUGGCAGCCUGACUCUCUGCUGCCUAUUGUCGUCCUAUCUGACCUGCUACUAGGCAACUACUACUACUCACGUUUGAUAGAUGCUAUCUUGCGUAUGACUGAGCAGUCUCGGCUAUACUUCAACCCAGACAUCAACGAAGCAAAUAGCUUGAUAUAUGGUUCAGGGAGCUUCGACGCUUGCUCCAACCAAAGAAGUCUUUCAAGCUAGAUUUUCUUUCCAUAUGAUACCUAGAACUGGCAUUGGCUGAGUUUGCGGUUAAAAAAAAAAAGAGCCAGCAAGGAGAUGGAGUUUGCGAAGCACAUGUUCGACCAUGACAACCCCAAGCAUGUGUCUCCAUACCUGAUGACGAGGCGACCAGGUGAAUACCACUCAUGAGAUGUGUGAGCUCUAGCGAAGAGGAUAAGUAGAAGCAUAGAACACAUAUUUGUCAUUAGGGACACGCGAGGAUGUUGUUGCAACAUCCGGGCACAUUUACUUAAAAAUAAAUAGAUUUCAAAA